rfam:Rattus norvegicus chromosome 3, whole genome shotgun sequence.
UCCCCGUCUACCCAGUGUUUAGACUACCUGUUCAGGACUCCCAAAUUGUACAGUAGUCUGCACAUUGGUUAGGCUGGGCU